AAGUCGUAACAAGGUUUCCGUAGGUGAACCUGCGGAAGGAUCAUUAACACUUUUUAAUUAAAUUUCUUUUUCUAGAAAUUUAUAAAACCCCACAAUUUUGGAUGAAUUUAAUUAUUUAAUUUUAAUUUUUUUUUAAUUUUUUUUAUAUAACUAAAAUAUUUUGGACUAAAAUCUUUUUUUAUAAAUUUUUAUAUAAUUUAAAAAACAACUCUUAACAACGGAUAUCUUGGCUCUC
rnacentral:misc_RNA from 1 species